rnacentral:rRNA from 1 species
GACGAACGCUGGCGGCGUGCUUAACACAUGCAAGUCGAACGGAAAGGCCCUGCUUUUGUGGUGUGCUCGAGUGGCGAACGGGUGAGUAACACGUGAGUAACCUGCCCUUUACUUUGGGAUAACUUCAGGUAACUGGGGCUAAUAACACAUCGGAGCUCCUGCUGCACGGUGGGGGUUGGAAAGUUUCGGCGGUUGGGGAUGGACUCGCGGCUUAUCAGCUUGUUGGUGGGGUAGUGGCUUACCAAGGCUUUGACGGGUAGCCGGCCUGAGAGGGUGGCCGGCCACAUUGGGACUGAGAUACGGCCCAGACUCCUACGGGGGGCAGCAGUGGGAAAUAUUGCGCAAUGGGCGGAAGCCUGAGGCAGCAACGCCGCGUGCGGGAUGACGGCCUUCGGGUUGUAAACCGCUUUCGCCUGUGACGAAGCGUGAGUGACGGUAAUGGGUAAAGAAGCACCGGCUAACUACGUG